UACGGAGGAUGCAAGCGUUAUCCGGAAUGAUUGGGCGUAAAGCGUCCGCAGGUGGCAAUGUAAGUCUGCUGUCAAAGCGUCUGGCUCAACCAGAUAAAGGCAGUGGAAACUACAUAGCUAGAGUAAGGUAGGGGUAGAGGGAAUUCCUGGUGUAGCGGUGAAAUGCGUAGAGAUCGGGAAGAACACCGGUGGCGAAAGCGCUCUGCUGGACCUUAACUGACACUGAGGGACGAAAGCUAGGGGAGCGAAUGGG
rnacentral:rRNA from 1 species